AGGGUGCUGGUCGAGCCUGGCUGAAGACAUCUCCUUGACGUGGAGAAGAACAGCGGUUCAAAUCCGCUGCACCCUA
rnacentral:tRNA from 2 species